UCAUGACCUGAGCCAAAGUCAGACGGUUAACCGACUGAGCCACCCAGGAGCCCCUAAGAAGUGUUUUAAAUACACAUUUGUUGAGUUCAAAGAAAAUUGGUCGCUAUAUGCAUUUGUACCUACUGGUAAAUGGCAGGGAGAGAGGAGUAGCCUUACACCCCCACACACGGAAUUUGAGAAGAAAGUGAAAGCAGAAACCGUUUCCUCCUUGAUAACAUGGGAGAGAGAACCUUACUCUGCUUGUUCCCAGUUGCUUCCAGCCAUAGUUGUUCUCUUCUGUCCCACAUGUUCAGAUCUGAUUGUCAGAAGAUGACUCUGGCCAUACUGCUUCAGGCAGAGAAGAACUUGCGUUCUUUUGCAGGGCCUGGCUCCCAGCUAUUGCCUCCGUAGCGGAAUCUGACACACUGAUAGAUGACAGGCCAUCUGAUACUCUAUCCAACAGAGGACAGUGGCUCAUUUCCGCUCUCACAUAACAUUUGCUCCAGAAAUGGAUUUUCUGAAACUUUCCACUUAAAAAGCUGUGGAUUAACUUUAGUGAGGCCAGCAUAGUGGAAACUAAGCAGAGCAUAUAACCUCAGACCGUUGGGCAGGCGCACUUUGUCACGGCUCUGCCUUAAUUCACUGCGUAUUACUUUCUUUGGAAUUCGCAACCAGAUUCUACACCAUUCACUUUUAACAUCUGGAAAUACGCAAAGCAUUUGGCUAUUUGUUCACCUUGUUUAAGGUGUCCACCUACGUCAGGUACCUUGCAUGUGAUUUACACAGUGAAUGGCCCUGCUUUCGGAGCAAGUUAAUGAUAUAAUAUCCCCAUUUAUAUUCAGAGCAGUCAACACUUUCCAGCUCUCAGAAUAAUAAAAGCACCUGCAUUUAAUAUACAUGGAAGAAUGGAAAGGCAAAUAGCAGAUAAGGCACAAUCAGGGGAAGACAGUUUAUCAGAAACUGAUGUCUCCGAGAACUUCCUCACUUUUGGCCACUGGCAGCUGGAAACCUAACUGUGUAUCUUAGCCUUGUGUGGACCCUAACGCAACAUAACCAUAUGGAGUCAAAUGGAAAGCUUCGUAUUCGCAAGUCAGAACUGAACAGACCUGGUUUGUAGAGUGGGAUUUAGCACGCUUUCUCUCCUUUUAAGUUACUCUUUGUUGGAGGCCAGUGAUCUCUUCACUGAACUCACUGGGCCUCACCAGAGACCAUGAGGACAUGGGGAAUAUAAGGGACAAGGCACGGGGAGGGCCCAGGUGCGGAGGGGCUGUUGCACGAGCUCGGGCUGGCCCGCAGUCGGCCCUGGUGUUGACGUCUUUGGUGGCAGGGCUCCAGCUCCUUCCCAGAGGGAUCACAAAGUGCCUUUGCUCUUCCCUGCUGCAAUUGGAGCAGGAUAUCAUGUGUAGAAAAUGCAAUGGACUGCCCCAUCUUCUGAGAAGAGCUGUAGUCACUCUCUUGUUCCUCCAUUCUGAUGCUUUCGUUUGCUUUUCUAGAGUAGUAGCCCUGGGCACUGGUCAACAGGUGUGUAUUUAAAUGAAAUUUUCUUAAGUAUGAGCAUGAGGGAGAUGAAAUAACUGUCCACUGCAUUUAGAGCCACUCUAUUUUUAUGGAAACGAUUCUUCCCAAAAUAUCUCUGUCUCUUCAGCUGGUUUAGUCAGCUCAGACUGUGAGAACAAAAUAACGUAGGUGAGGUGGCUUAAAGAACAGAAAUUUAUUUUCUCUCAGUUCUGAAGGCUGUACGUCUGAGACCAGGGUGCCAGCACGGUCGGGUUCUGGUGAGAGUUCUCCAGCUGGUUUGCAGACAGUGGGCAUCUCAGUGUGUGCUCACAUGACCUCUUCUUUGGAAAAAGGGAAAGCAAGCUUUGUGGUCUAAGAUGUCUUCUUACAAUGACACUAAUCCAUGAGACUCUCCCCUCAUGAGCUCAUCUAAACCUGUUUACCUCUCAAAGGUCCCAUCUCCAGGCACCAUCACACUGUGGGUCAGGGCUUCACCAUAGGAACUGGGGGGGCUACGGGGUACAAUUCACUCCAUAGCAUUACCCAGUAGUGUCAUUGUGGCAAUGGUAGUAAGGCAGAGACAAAGAGAGUGACUGCCUGGCAAAAAAAAAAAAAAAAAGAAAAAAAAAAGGUUGACAUGAAGAGUAUUAGUAGUUCACUCCAUGAUGGAACAAAUGUGAAUUAUUAUCCAUUCUUUUCACACACGCCACCCCUCACUGGCCCACUCACCUACAUACCCACUUGAGACUUAAAGAGAUCACAGGAGAAGGCGUUGUGUCAGGGAUUAAGUGGAAAAGUAACAACUUUCAGGAUGUUUAUGAUGUCAACAUUCUCUUGUCUUUUCUACUAUACUUUCUACCUUCCCCGUAACGGGGACCAAUAACUGGUUUCAGAAUGAUGGAAUAACCCACAAGGGGGCUUCAUUCACCAAGACGGUUCAGUUAUGUUCUAAAUACCAAAGAUGACAGAACUAAUUUUCAGAAGAUUUUUAAUAACAGGAGUGAAAGUAAGGAGUUUGUGAGGAAACAUGGGUUAAUUACAAGCCCCUCUUUUCAGAGUGUCCCAUUUCAUAUAAUGGGACAUAUAAUUCUCUUUAACGGAAUUCAUCAUUGAAUGCUUUUGGGGAAGUGGGCUGAGAUUUACAUUUUACAACUGGAAAACUGGAAGCUUCUUCAAGGUCAUCAGAAGAGAUCUGGAUUCUCAAUUUAAGCAUGAACUACACAAGACUAAAAAUUGAACACACCUUCCCCAGAGAACCUGCCAAGCAGUUUUCCAAAGUGGUUGUUACAUGUGUUACAUUCCCACCAGCAAUGUAGGAGAGUUCCAGCAGUUCCAUAUCCUCACCUCCACUUGGUGCCUCUGAGGGAAGUACUCAAAGUAUGGGGAUGCCCACCAAAGCUUCUUUGGUCCAACGAAGGCAGAGGUCUGUUUAACCAUGAUCAUUACGAGAGGCUGACAAAUUUUAAUUUCUGGCUUUGUCCUACAAGGGACCACAGUAAUACUGUCAAGUGACGGGACCAUUUUUUAACAGAGCAUUCUGUGUGAACUGGUUGAAUGGAGUGCCAUGAAAGUCUUUAAUAAAUUAUAGGUGGAUUUAUGGGUUCUGCUCCGGGCCAAGAAGAUCCCUGGGAAGGCUAGAAUUUAUAUGCUGCGUGUGCACUUUAAGAGCUCCUGGUGGAUGGUGCAAAGGACAAGAUAAAAAUAAAGAAGGGAAGAUAAUGAGCCAACUCCUCUUUGUUGGCAAAAAUCUUUGUUUUUCUGCCUCCAAAGUUUUCUGUAACGUUUCCAUUGACCUAGAAGCUAUUGUGCUUUCUGGUGAGUUUCUGUGAAGACCCUACUCUAUGUGGAGAAAGGCCAACAAAAGAGCAAUUCCUGAUGCAUGGGAUGGAAUUGUCUCUUCUAUAGAAUCAAGUUGUAAAACGAAUCUGGACAUUUGUCUGGGGGUGUCUUAACACUGGAAGCAGCUUUACGCAAGUAAGAAAGAAAUGGAACUGGUGAUCAAAGUGUAUUGAUAUUUUUAGGAUCUUGGUACAUAUUGCCAGUGUGAACCCAAGAGAGGUCACAGUAGUUAAUACACACACUGGCUGGGUCGGAGCACUCAGCAACAUUAUUACUACCUUUUACAUCUUUACUAAUGUGGUAGACUGAAAAAGACGUUGAGCCCGAUUCAACAGUCUGCUUACUGUAUGGUUCUAUUUAUGUGAUAUCCUGGAGAAGGAAAAGCUAUUGGGGGAAACAUGUUGGAUCAGGGUUUGGGUGUGAGAAGGAGUGACAGGAGAGAGAUCGGAGGGAAUUUCUUGGGGGUAAUGGAAAUGUUCUGUAUCUCAAUUUUGCUGGUGCUUUCAUGACUAUAUGUAUUUGUCAAGACUCACUGAACUAUACACUUGAAAAGGGUGAAUUUUACUGUACAUAAAUUAUACGUCAAUAAACCUGACUUUUAAAAAAUGA